rnacentral:rRNA from 1 species
UACGUAGGGCGCAAGCGUUGUCCGGAAUUAUUGGGCGUAAAGAGCUCGUAGGCGGCUUGUCACGUCGAUUGUGAAAGCCCGAGGCUUAACCUCGGGUCUGCAGUCGAUACGGGCUAGCUAGAGUGUGGUAGGGGAGAUCGGAAUUCCUGGUGUAGCGGUGAAAUGCGCAGAUAUCAGGAGGAACACCGGUGGCGAAGGCGGAUCGCUGGGCCAUUACUGACGCUGAGGAGCGAAAGCGUGGGGAGCGAACAGG